GACGAACGCUGGCGGCGUGCUUAACACAUGCAAGUCGAGCGGAAAGGCCCUUCGGGGUACUCGAGCGGCGAACGGGUGAGUAACACGUGAGCAACCUGCCCUAGGCUUUGGGAUAACCCCGGGAAACCGGGGCUAAUACCGAAUAUGACCUUCGGUCGCAUGACUGUUGGUGGAAAGUUUUUCGGCCUGGGAUGGGCUCGCGGCCUAUCAGCUUGUUGGUGGGGUGAUGGCCUACCAAGGCGACGACGGGUAGCCGGCCUGAGAGGGCGACCGGCCACACUGGGACUGAGACACGGCCCAGACUCCUACGGGAGGCAGCAGUGGGGAAUAUUGCACAAUGGGCGGAAGCCUGAUGCAGCGACGCCGCGUGAGGGAUGACGGCCUUCGGGUUGUAAGCCUCUUUCAGCAGGGACGAAGCGCAAGUGACGGUACCUGCAGAAGAAGCGCCGGCCAACUACGUGCCAGCAGCCGCCGUAAUAC
rnacentral:rRNA from 1 species